GCAAGUCGAGCGCGCCCUUCGGGUGGUGGACAGUGGCGCACGGGUGAGUAACACGUGGGGACCUGCCUGAUAGUAAGGAAAAACAGUUGGAAACGACUGCUAAUACCUUAUACGCCCUUCGGGGGAAAGAUUUAUCGCUAUCAGAUGGACCCGCGCUAGAUUAGAUAGUUGGUGAGGUAAUGGCUCACCAAGUCUACGAUCUAUAGCUGGUUUGAGAAGAUGAUC
rnacentral:rRNA from 1 species